rnacentral:misc_RNA from 1 species
UUGAUAAGCGUGAGGUCGGAGGUUCAAGUCCUCCCAGGCCCACCAAUUUAUGCUCGUUUUUUGCUUAUUCUUGAGCCUUAUGAAGCUUAAGCGUGUCAAAGCCUCUUUAAUCUUUGUUCAUAGUUUAAAGAUUUAAUUUUAUCUUUCAGAAAUUAUUUGUUAAAUUUAUUUCAUUGCAAAUUUAUCUCAUUACAUUUGUCCAAUAGUGCCUUUGUUAGAGAAUACCUUUGUUAAAGAGGAUUUUAACGUCCCUUCAAGGGUGCAGAUAAAUUUAAAGAAUAAAAAUCAAAUUUAAGCAAUACAAAUCAAAAUAAUAUUGAUUAAAAGAGGACAAGUCAUUCAAGUUGAUCAAUUUUCUUGAGAUUGAUUUGAGAGAGCAUUCUUUAGGGGCCGUAGCUCAGCUGGGAGAGCACCUGCUUUG